rnacentral:tmRNA from 1 species
GGGCUAGACUGGAUUUGACAGCGGGUAGAAAUGGUAUGUAAGCAUGCAGUGCGUCAGUGAUUGGCACUUUAAUCUCAGUUACUAAAAUUUUAUCUGGCGAAAAUAACUACGCUCUUGCUGCUUAAUCGAAUCACAGUAGAUUAACUUAAUCCCGAUACAAGGUGUUGGGACGAGACAUCACUCGGAAGCUCUGGCUUCGAAGUAUUCCGGCUCAGUGGUGCAGUUAAAUCGGAGAUAGUUUGCAAUGGCCUCGAAUUGCAAAUGAAACUUUAGAGGAUAAGGUAUAAGUUGAUGGCUUUGGUUCUGCUUAUACACGAAAAUUUAGACAAAGAUAAGCAUGUAGAAAGCUUAUGGUUUCCUCGUUUGGACGAGGGUUCGAUUCCCUCCUGGUCCACAA